GGCUCGGUGGUGUAAUGGCAGUAGCACGCGUCCGCGGUAUGGAUGAAACGCGGGUUUGAUUCCCGCCCGAGGCCA